AUGUCUAUGGGACCUAAUUGGACAAAAUGAUGAGGAUGCCGAUUAAGCAGCGAGACUGGUCAGUAGAGACAGGCCAACCUUCUUGCGUAACAGCGCUGACCACAUGUCGUACAAACAACACUACUCAAGCUACAAAGGCUGGACUUGGAAACUCUGUCCUCCACUGUAUCCACCAGACCUCGCACUAACUGCCACUCUUCCGGGCUUUGGACCACUUGUUGCAAGAAAACAUAUCCGAUUCUCAGCACGCUGUGGAAAACUUUCACCUUUUGCGAUUUCACCGCCACUCACUCUCUAGGCUUCUUUGCUGCUGGCAUAAACAAGCUACCAUUAAGAUGGCAAAACUGUCAGAAGUUUAGGCACAGACCUUAAUUGUACUUCUUGUUUGAGAUAUAAUAAACUGAACUUUUGAUUCAAAAUCGGACAUUUCAUAUUUAAUGACUUAAUAGCUAUGUGUGGAAGCUUGGGUUUUCUAAUCUACCUCCUCCACUAAAGUCCAGGGAACCAGGGGUUAAACUCCUAGCAGAUGGUGCUGCUGCCAAAGAUGCUGCUGACUGAGCAUGCCAGGAAUUUAAAGAGUUGCUUAAACAGGGUUAACACAUGGCCUGUGGGAAGACAGCUGGUCUGCAGCAGAAUUACAGGUCGGAAGGUUAGAUACAUUUCCCUGAAAGCAGAGGACACACUGGAGUUGGGAUCAGUGAAUGCCAUUUAGGGAAAGGAAAAAGCAUAAAGGUGCUAUUUAAGGGAGCAAUUGAAUGAGAGCGUAGACAAUGCUAGGGUAGAACAGAAUAACUACCAAAUAUGGAGGAGGGGUGACAAAAUGAUGGAGACAGAAACAAGCAUGGCAGGACACGGCCUCUGCAGCCUCUACUCAAAAUACGGGGAGAGCCGAUGCCACCAGCCCUUUCCCAGCUCCAGGGUCUGCUGUCUUUUGCUUGCACCAGUAUGUGCAGGGAGUUGGGAGAGCUCUGAUUAUGCUAGGCCCUUGGACAUUUAACAUGGCUUUAUGCUUAAGAGGAUGCAGUGAGAUGUUAUCAAGUUGGAAGAAGACUUUAACCUCUUGGAAUUAAAAUUAAUUCGUAUUAAUUAAAUUAACUCUUAUUAUUAAAGCCACUGUCUUAUUAAGGACAGUGGCUUACAUUUAUUGCAGUCCAAAUUCUGCAAAUGCCUUGAAGGUCUGUUCUUGAUGAAGAAGCACUAUGAGAGGUAUUAUGGAAUAGAGGUUUGAAAUUAAAGUUUAAGACACAUUCUCAGGUCUCAGGUAGUUUAUAAUACAAGACAAGGGUGGUAAACAGAAGCCUAUAACACAAGGUGACUAAGAAAACUGGUACAGAGGAAGUAGUAGUAGAAUCAAAAGCGAGAGAGAGAGAGACAAAGAUUGGUGAAGAAAGCAUUGAAAUUUUAUGAAGAAUGAAGGAAAUAUUACCAAAGACUUAGGAGGACAUUAAAAGUGAAAGAAAUCACAUAAGCACAGGCACCAAAAGACUGUUCUCUUUCUCUCUCAUACACAUAUACUACAUUGUGCUCUAAGGUUUCCUUAUGAAAUAAGACAACCUAUCAGGUUCAAUUUCUGAUAAGAAGUGGGUAUUAAAUAUAUUUUGAAUAUUUGAAGACCCAGUUUCUAGAUGGCCUACAGAAUGAUACAGGGGAAGACCAUGAACUUUAGUGCUAGAUAGAUUUGGGUUCUAAUUUCAAUCUGUUUCUUUGCUGUGUGACCUUGAAUAAAUUAAUCUCUGAGAAGUUUUCUUAUUUAUAAAUAUGAGGAAUAUAAGAGUGGACAUGCAAAGUUAUUGUAAGGGUUAAACAGCCAGACGUGGUGGUACAGGUGCCUGGUAAGUAAGGGCUUGUGCUCUGCUCUUACUUUUCACUUGCCGACCACGUGGGCGCAGCUGCUCCUCCUCGGCAACACCAGAGGGCAGCAUCGUCCCGUUCUUGUAAUCAAAGGCUUCCAGGAGUGACUGCUUCCUUGCAGACAGGGUUUUUCUAAAUGCUUUCAGCAAGGGAGGAAACAGAAACUGUGUUUCAGAAUGUGAAUAGGGCAAGAAGGGAUAAACCCUGGAAGGACUUUGGAACGGCUGCUGUGUCCCUGUGCCAGCAACAGCUGUGUGCACAGACCCCAUGGAAGGCAGCACUCAGCCAUCUAUCUCUGCCAGCUGGUUAGGAGGACUUCUGGUACUAAUGGAACAGAACUUUAGAUUGGGAAUCUAAAUGAAUCUGUUUAUUACUAGAAAACCACUGUGCUUGUAUGAUACAUCUGAAAAGCCUGCUGGAAUGUGUUUGCUAGAGAGUAGGAACUAUGGUGACCAUGUGUUCCAGUUUGCCUGGGACAGCCUGAUUUAUGACUGUGGUUCUGUAGUAAUUAUUGGUACCUCCUUUUACUUUCAAAGUGUCUUGGUUUGCAGGAUAAGUUAUGUUGCCAUCCCGCUCAGAACGGUCAGAGGGAUACUCACUAAGAGUAAUGGAUAUGCCCUAGCCAGAGUCCUUGGGUCUGGUUAAGAUCAUGCACAGGCUUUGGAGUCAGAAAAUGACAGAUGUAUCUGGGUUAAAAUCCCUGCUGUGUGUGUCAUUGGCAAGUUAUUUAACCUCUUUAAGCCCCAGUUUCCUGAUGUAUAGAUUAGGGAUAAUAACAGGAUGUGAAUGUAGUGUCCAAUUUAAUCCUCCUAAUUAAAGUGCAUACCAGAGUCUCUGGCACAGUGAUACAUCAAUGCUGCCCUUGUUAUUUUUAAGAUUCACCAUAAGAUUCGAGCUGUCACCUUAGCUCGGUGAUAGCUUAGCUGUCAGCUGACAGCUUAGCUUAGAUUGGAUCUCUAGAGGUGAAGGAAUUGAAGACAAGAGUAAAAAUAAGUUACGGUUAUAAAAUUAUUGCUGAAUUGCUCAAGGUUAGUGCCAAAUGAGCACCCAUUUCUCAGAACGUGCAUUGAGGUGGUUGCUGUUUCUCUGGAGACCAUUCAGUGUAAAAGAUGUGACCAUCUCUGUCCUGAAGCAAGUACAGGGCACAAUGUUUUUCUGGAGCUUAGAGAACAAUAGAUAUUUGACUAUUCUGCAUUUUUCUUAUUUAAUUACAAAAUAUUUCAAAUACAUAAAUAAGAAUAAUCUUGUAGACCUGAGAAGUGGAGAGCAAGAAGUGGAGAGCAUGCAAGCGGAAAAGACGGCCCCUUUCCGCUGACUCCCAGGCACGAGGCCCUCAUUUUGGCUUCUCAGUGAGUGGCAGUGGCGGCAGCGUCGGUGGCUAGAACAAUAACCUGUCUGAGGGCGGCAGCCAACAGCUAGACCUAAAGGGCAAGGAAAUAAAGUUUCAGUACAAAACAGUUCGAUUCAUCAAAAAGAUGCUGUAAAUGAUGAUGAUUUUGAGCCAUACUUAAGUAGCCAGACAAAUCAGAGUAACAACUAUUCACCAAUGUCCGAUCCAUACAUGCUUAGUUACUAUGCUCCAUCCAUUGGAUUUCCAUAUUCUCUUGGGGAAGCAGCCUACGCCAUAUCUGACAACCUAUGGACAAAUGAGUAAUGGAGAACAUCAUUAUAUACCGGAUGGUGUGUUUAGUCAACCUGGGCAUUAGGAAAUACCCCUCCAUUUCUUGGUCAACAUGGAUUUAACUUUUUUCCUGGUAAUGCUGAUUUCUCUACAUGGGGGACAAGUGGAUCUCAGGGACAAUCAACACAAAGUUCUGUGUAUAGUAGCAGUUAUGGCUAUCCACCUAGUUCUCUUGGUAGAGCUAUCACUGAUGGAUAGGCUGGAUUUGGCAAUGAUACUUGGAGUAAGGUGCCUGGCAUUAGCAGUAUUGAGCAAGGCAUGACUGGACUGAAAAUUGGUGGUGACCUGACAGCUGCAGUGACAAAAACUGUAGGUACAGCCUUGAGCAGCAGUGGUAUGACUAGCAUUGCAAUCAGUAAUGUAUCCCAGUUAGCAGUACAGCACCUAAACCAACCUCCUGGGCUGCCAUUGCCAGAAAGCCUGCCAAACCUCAACCGAAACUUAAACCCAAGGGCAAUGUGGGAAUUGGAGGUUCUGUUGUGCCACCACCUCCUAUAAAACACAAUAUGAAUAUUGGAACUUGGAAUGAAAAGGGGUCAGUGGUAAAGGCUCCACCAACCCAACCAGUUCUGCCUCCUCAAACUAUAAUCCAGCAGCCUCAGCCAUUAAUUCAACCACCACCGUUGGUGCAAAGCCAACGGCCUCAACAGCAGCCUCAGCCACAGCAGCAACAAGGACCUGCCCAGCCUCACCAAGUGCAGCCUCAACAGCAGCAGCUGCAGAAUCGCUGGGUAGCUCCUUGGAACUGGAGAGCAGGCUUCAACCAGAACAAUGGAGCCGGCAGUGAAAACUUUGGUUUAGGUGUUGUACCUGUCAGCGCUUCACCUUCUAGUGUAGAAGUGCAUCCAGUGCUGGAAAAGCUAAAGGCCAUAAACAACUAUAAUCCCAAAGACUUUAAUUGAAACCUGAAGAAUGGACGUGUGUUUAUAAUUAAAAGCUACUCUGAGGAUGACAUAUAUUGUUCCAUUAAGUACUCUAUCUGGUGUAGUACUGAGCAUGGUAAUAAGUGUUUGGAUCCGUACCCAGAAUGGGAAAGGCCCACUCUAUUUACUCUUCAGUGUGAAUGGCAGUGGACAUUUUUGUGGAGUGGCUGAAAUGAAGUCUGUUGUGGACUAUAAUGCAUAUGCUGGUGUCUGGUCUCAGGAUAAGUGGAAGGACAAAUUUGAAGUUAAAUGGAUCUUUGUCAAAGAUGUUUCCAAUAACCAAUUACGGCAUAUUCACUUAGAAAAUAAUGACAACAAACCAGUUACCAAUUCAAGGGACACUCAAGAGGUACCCCUAGGAAAAGCUAAGCAAGUGCUUAAAAUAGUUGCUACUUUCAAGCAUACCACCUCAAUCUUUGAUGACUUUGCACAUUAUGAAAAGCGUCAAGAAGAGGAGGAAGCCAUGCAUAGGGAGAGAAAUAGAAACAAACAAUAACCAUAUGGAGAUGUCCUGUUAAAAUUACAACACUAAUGACGUAGACUCUGGCAAUGCCUAAUAAGUCAAAAAAGACGUUAUUAAAGCUUAUUUUCUGCUUAAGGUGACAUCUUUAAACACUUUAACACAAAAUUGACUCUUCUUGUAAUGAUUUUCAUCAUCGCAUCUGCCCGCAUACUCUCACCUAACACACUUGACAACUGUAACUUCAUCAAGCACUUUCUGUCCUGAAGCUUUUACCAGUAUUGGCUGUCUUUUGUAAUUAUGCAUCCUAACUAAGGCACAGAAGACUGAAUGAAUGCAAGGAUUCAUUAACUCUUUGAAUUUGUUAAAUACUAACAGUUAACCAUUAGAAGUGGUUCAAUGAUGUAAGAGUCACACUGCUUCAACUUUUCUUUGUUGUAGUUUUUAAAUUGUCAAUUUUUAGCUAUUUGACAGAUUAAAAACAAAAUAAUCAUGCCAUAUUUAGUCUUGGAGUUCAAGUCUAAAUGUUUAUGUGAAAAAUUAUUGUAGUAAACUUUUAAUAUGGCAAAGCAAACUUAAGCUCUAUUUUAGCCAAAUGAAACAUAAUCUGAAAUUAUAUUAGAACAUUUCCCUUGUCUUCAAACUGUUUGGUGUAACAGAAUAUUGAUAUGGAGCUUGGUGGAUUUCACCAGUUAAUGCACAUUCUUCUCUCCUCCUUCCCCUAGUAUAUUGAGAAGUGUGCAUUUGUGUGAGGAAUUAUUUUGUUUGCUACCACUUAAUGAAUCUCAAAGUUUUGAGUAAAUGUACCUCAGUCUAAUCAGACUUUUUAUGACCUUUAUAACUACAUUUAAAACCUUUAAUUCCUAUUUCUGGGUGUUUGCGAGCCUGAUUGCUAUCAUGAAGUAAAAAUUUAUUACUCUAGGUAUUCACUAGCUGAAUAAACAGUUCUUGUUUAGCAAGCAUAUACUGUUCCUCAGCUCUUUUCUCCAGCUUUUGCAGUGUCCUGGCACCCUUAAAAUACUUUGAAAAUAUGGCCUUGAUCCAUGGAUUAAAUCAGUAUCUAAGUGAAUGUGUUGAUGUUUUAUCGAUCUCAUCUGUAUAAGUGGGAAUACAUCAUAUAUCUGGGUAUUCUUAUAGUUAUCUUUUUAACAUCUUAUUUUUUCAUUAAUUACAUAUCAACAUUAAUUUUGUAUCUUGAAGCAAAUUGAUUUUGUAUAGUUAAAUGUGUCAAGCAUCUGUAUUAACUGAUUUGAAGGCAUAAGAUUAUGAAAAUAAUGUACUGCCCCUUAUAUUACUGUUCCAAGAGGAGAAAGCUGUGUAGAAAGAUACGUUAAGGGUGAAAAUAGCAAUACAGUAGAUUUGAAGACCUUGAUGUUUUGCAUUAAUCCAUUUAUGUUUACAUCAUGUUUAGAAAUGUUUUCAUUUACUAUGGUCUUUGGUCACCUCAACUCAGAAACCUAGUGUCAGAUAUUUCUUUGAGACUUUCAUUUAUAUGAUUUUUUUUGUAUAAUGUUUUCUUAAAAUGUACAAAUACUGUAUUCAAGUGGAAAAAAAAUACAGUAUUUGUAGAUAACCAUAGGUACUACACAGUUCUUUGGUUAAGUCCCAGUAUAGUUAUAUCAGUGUUUACUGAAAGGAACAUCAAAAUUUUAAUGGUAUAUUAUAAAAUAAAGACUUUAUUAAAGGAAAAUUGUACCUAUUUUACCUUUUUAAGAGUAAGCCAUGAAAUCUUAUAACAUGUCUCAUAAUUAUUUAUAAUGAAAAUUGGCAUUUGGGUAUAGUCACCACAGCAAUGUUCUACAUCUCUAAGAUUAUAUAGGUAGGACAUGUCAAAGAUGACUGUUGUCAUUCUGGAGGUCCUAUUAGAGAAAACUAUAGAAGGGUGGCCUUGUAGGAAGGAUCUGAGUCCUCACCCUGAGGUUCUCUUUUUCUUGGUGCUUUAUUAGCAACUCUGGAUAUUUUUAUAAAAUUAGUUACAUUAUAUAUGGAUUCAAACUUAUUUAAUUUACAUUAGGUUUUUAUGUAAGAUUGUCAAGGAAGCACCCAGCAUGCAGGCUAAUUGCAAUAGACUAAAGACAUGUUAAAUAAAUGUAUUUGAGAGUCUGUUCAUGGUAAGGAGUACAUCCCAGUGCCUUUAACCUGGAUUUCUAAUCUUAAGUGAAAUGGGUGCAGCAUUCCUUUGGAAAAAAAAAUCCUUUUUCUUUUCAGUUGAUAAUUUUGUGUUUUUCUCAUUAAGUUUUCUCCAGAGCACCCACCUUCUCUUCCUUCUUCGUCUGUAAUUGUAUUGCAAAAUGUUUUUCCUCUAAAUGAAAUUAUUACAGGUUGUCUUAAUAGAACAACCAACUAACUGAAUGUUUCUUAACUGUGGGGACCAAAAGGGAGAGAGCCUGAGGUCACCUGGGGUCUACAAGAGGAGACACAUAAUCAUAUGUUUGAAUAAUCAUAAAUUAAGACAUUAUUGGCCCAGCAAAUUUCUUAAUGUUUUUCCAAGUUCUGGUUUGAAUGUUUCUUAUUAAAGUUAUCUUAUAUAGGAAUUUUAUUUUGAAAGGUAUUAUAGUUUGUAUAUUUAACAGUAAGGGGGAAAAUGUAACCAAAAUUAGUAUUACUUCUCUAAUACAUAUUGGUACUUGAAGAUUCCUUUCAAAUGAAACCCAGCCUUUUCCUAAUUUAGUACUUAAUUCCUCAUUUUAACUUAAGUGAUCUUUCUAAUUCAAAAGCUGUGUUCUUUUUGAAUACCAUGCAUGGGGGUUAAGCUGAUGUUAAAACAGUUUGCAGUAAAAAAAGAAUCAGCUUAAGUCAUUUAAUCAUUUCAAGUGCAUUCUGCAUCUUUUAAAAAUAAGUUUGAGAAAUUUAAGAGAAUUGUGUUUUCAUUAAGUUUUGUGUAUCUUUUGUUAUGCCAUGUAAAUUCCCUUUUACAUAUGAUUAAAGGAAGGUUAUGAUAAAAUGAUUAGUUCAUUUACAUUCACUUGUAGCAAUUACAUGAGAAUUUGAAUUUUGUCAUGUUUGGGUUUGUUCAUUCCUGUGAAUGAUGGUACAGUUAGGUGAGAUUUUCUGUUAUGGUACCCAAACUCACCAUUUGGUCCUCUUUAAUCUUUGAGGGUUUCAAUAAAAAUUGUUCACUCAAAAAAAAAAAAAAAA